rnacentral:rRNA from 1 species
AUACGGAGGGUGCAAGCGUUGUCCGGAUUUAUUGGGUUUAAAGGGUGUGUAGGCGGUGUAUUAAGUCAGUGGUGAAAGCCUGCGGCUCAACCGUAGAACUGCCAUUGAUACUGACACACUUGAGUAUGGACGAGGUAGGCGGAAUUUAUGGUGUAGCGGUGAAAUGCAUAGAUACCAUAAAGAACACCGAUAGCGAAGGCAGCUUACUAGGCCAUAACUGCCGCUGAGGCACGAAAGCGUGGGGAGCGAACAGGAUUAGAAACCCCUGUAGUCC